ACGAACGCUGGCGGCGUGCUUAACACAUGCAAGUCGAACGGAAAGGCCCUGCUUUUGUGGGGUGCUCGCGUGGCGAACGGGUGAGUAACACGUGAGUAACCUGCCCUUGACUUUGGGAUAACUUCAGGAAACUGGGGCUAAUACCGGAUAGGAGCUCCUGCUGCAUGGUGGGGGUUGGAAAGUUUCGGCGGUUGGGGAUGGACUCGCGGCUUAUCAGCUUGUUGGUGGGGUAGUGGCUUACCAAGGCUUUGACGGGUAGCCGGCCUGAGAGGGUGACCGGCAACAUUGGGACUGAGAUACGGCCCAGACUCCUACGGGAGGCAGCAGUGGGGAAUAUUGCACAAUGGGCGGAAGCCUGAUGCAGCAACGCCGCGUGCGGGAUGACGGCCUUCGGGUUGUAAACCGCUUUCGCCUGUGACGAAGCGUGAGUGACGGUAAUGGGUAAAGAAGCACCGGCUAACUACGUG
rnacentral:rRNA from 1 species